AGCAGCGUGCGCGGCGCCAUCGCCCCCAUCUCGGGUCCGGGAAGUCUGAGUCCCGGGGGGCUGCGUGGACUUCAUAACCAGUGCCAUCGGCGAUGUUGGUUGGUUCCCCGGGAUCGCGUCACCCAAUGGGGGUGAGAACUGCCAGGGCGUCAUCAGUGUCCGGGCAGAAGAACCUGAUCCAGAGCGCUGUUUGUCACUGUGUCUCCGAGUUCUGACCCAGAAGCUGUCUGGACACCGGGAGAGACCUGCAGGCCAGACUCUCUGUGUCCUCUCCUCCACCCUUCCUCUUCUUCCUUCUCUUCAGAAGUCAGAGCCUGGACUCUUCUAGAAGAAAAGCCACUUCUGGGAAUACAAUGGUGACACAAGCAGUUGGGGAUGCAGUGGAGAGAUGCUUCUCCUUAAAGCAGAGGAGCUGUCCUGCAAGCCCCACACAGACCCCACAGAGACCAGGCUCUGUCAACCUGCAGUGUGCCAAGCCUGAGUGCAGGAUUCUCAUUUGUAAAGAAGAGACUUUGGCUCUUCCCUCAGGAUCUGUCUUCUCAGCCUCAGGCUUAGACUCAGACUCCUCGAGUUUCUGUUUGGCUCCAGACCGGUGUGUUUUAUUUACAAGGAUCUUUAUUCCCAGUCCCGAGUUUGUCUGUGUGGAGCUGUGUCGUUGUCUCAGCACAGGAGACCCCCUUGUCCACUGAAGAGAGACUCCUGUGGAGACCACUGACAGGAGAGCACUGAUCCCUGUCUACACUGGACUUUCCUUGUGUCCCCACUUGCAUGGUACAGUUGCUUUAGUGACACAAUCUUAGUAGGAGAAGAAUUGUCACCGACUAUAACACAGAAUAAUGAUGAUAGUGUGGUAGAAGUUAUGUAAUCUGUGACCCUCUCACUCUCUCUCUGACCUUCACUCACUCUUAUGAGCUGAUGAGGUGAGGAACAUGAGUGUCACAGCUGUGUGGGACACCAGAUGUGAUCAUCCUCAGGCUUGUCCAGUGUGGACACUGGAAGAAAGAUGAUUCUUAUGCCAGAGAGUACACACUGGCGAUGUGAGGUUUCAUCCCUGAUUGGUAGUGUGAGGAAAAAGUAAAUUUAUACAUUUCUUGAUUCUGUGGAUCCCUUGAAAUCACACCCACAAAACUGAAGUGGAAAAAAAGAGCAGAGAUGGGCGGGGACUCCUGAUGAGAGUCACUCAUCACAUAGAAUGACAAAUAUGCGUGACCACAGGUGUGAACUCCAGUCACCUCCCCAUGCAGGUCUCCACAGCAGCCCAGCAGCCUCACCAGGAUUCAGUAUAACCUGUUUCUGUGAACCACUCUUAUUAGGUGCUGUGAGUAUUUUCCAUGGGAACUUGAUGCUCUCAGGUUUCAUCCUGAUUAACCUAAGGAUGUCGCUGGCCUUAGGCAGCUGCACAGAAAGUAUCUGUCUCAGUUUCUUUUCUAAUUCUGUUUUUCAAGACAAGGUAUCUCUUCAGAGCUCUGGCUGUUAUACAACUUAGUAUGUAGACCAGGCCAGCUCUGAAAUAAAGUUUGGGAGUUAGUUCCCUCCUUUAACUAUGUGGCUUCCAUUGAUCAAAUGUGGGUAGCAAGUGCCUUUACCCCUUGAGCAAUCUCUUUGAUCCUCUCACAGUUCAAUGGGUUUGGUCUUUUCCAAGGGUCCCCUCAUUACUGCACUUGUCACACAGGAGAGCUGGCCACCAUGACAUUAGAAAAGCCAUUUCCUGGCCUGAUAGGUACCAGCAUUGCCUUGGAUGACUCUGGAGAACCAAGCCUUCUGGCCCAGGUCCCACCUGUGGCAGUGUCAGCUCCUGCCUGGAAGAUCCCAUAUUUGCACUGAGAGCUUGGGUGUCACUGUCUGUGUUAGUUACUGUGGCCCUUUGAAUAAGAUGACCCCCAUAUUCUUGGUCAUUUGAAUACUUAGUUCCCAGUUGGUGCUGUUUCGGGAAGUUUAGGAGGUGUGGCCUUGCUGGAGGAAGUAUGUCACUGAGUCAAUGGUUGGAGAUGUGAGUUCUCAGACAGUCCUGCUGUCAUGCCUGGCAUUUGCUACCAUGAUGAUGAUGGACUCUUAACUCUAUGGACCCCACACUCCAAAUAAACCUUCUGUAAGGUGCCUUGGACAUAAUGUUUUAUCAGAGCAACAGAAAGUAACCAAUACAGUUACAGUAACCAAUACAGUUACUUUUCCCAUCACAGUGACUGACUAUGCAACAAGAGACACCUUAGGAAGGAAGGGUUUAUCCUGGCUCGUGGUUUGAAGGGAUACAGUCACCGCAUUGGGUAGGCACAGUGCAGGAGCUGGGGUUGGCUUGUUAUGUUGAGUCUACUGUCUGGGGAUGUUAGUGCUCAGUCUGCUUUCUCCUUCUUGUUCUGUAUGAGAUCCUUGCUGUGGAUGGUGCCACACACAUCCAGAGUGGGUCUUCUCUCAGUUAAACCUUUCAGAAAAUGCAUUCUAGAUGUGCCCAGAGCUGUUUCCACGAAGACUCUAAAUCCCUUCCAGCUGACAAUGAAGAUUACCUACCACACA